rnacentral:tRNA from 15 species
CCAUGGUGUAACGGCUAGCAUAUUAGAUUCCAAACCUAAUGAUCAGGGUUCAACUCCCUGUG